rnacentral:misc_RNA from 1 species
UGGAGCCCUCCCUCUGCUCCGUCCAUAAGCCAGCACAAGCACGCACGCGCCGAGUCCGUAGUAGUGACACUGUCUCUUCCCUUUCCGUGCGCGGUCGCUCUGUCUUUCGUUCUGCGCUUUCAGAGAACGUGCAGCUGAUCCAUCACAGCUCUCGCCGCUCACUUCACCGAGCUGUCGUGGUUCGCGGAGCGCUUGCCGACGAACGCGUCGAGUCGCUGUCGGCUCACAUAGGUGUGCACCUCCGUACCCCACUCCCAGCCCUCCCUCCUCUCCCUCCUCCCACCCCCCUCCCCAAAAAGAAAAAACGCCAAGCAUACAGGCGCGAGAUGGCAUCUGUGUCACCUUCUGAAACAGGCGGCACGCUCAUCACGUUCCUGCAGCAGCUGCGCGGCACCCUGGUCGAGAUUGAGCUGAAAAACGCCUCCAUUGUCUCAGGCGAAAUCGCCUACGUCGAUGCCAAUAUGAACACGUACAUGACACACGCAAAAAUCACCAGCAAGGGCAAGAACCCUGUGGAAGUCGAGGAGUACAUGGUGCGCGGUAGCACGAUCCGCUACAUCAUUAUGCCGGAGAGCCUGAACACGUACGAUAUUCUGAAGCAGGCUUCGACAAAGAAGAACGGCGCAUCGAAGAAGUAGGCCGCGGCGGCGCUGACUACGGCAGAGAGGCGCGCGCACGUUCGGGCGAGUGAUCGGGUCAUCGAGGUGUUCUGCUGAAGCGGAGAGGGACACACAAAGCCCGAAGGAAGGAGAGAAAGAGAGAGUUACGCGUGCCAACGUUUUGGCGGUGCUGCGAAGAGACGCGGCUGACAGUUCGGGGCUACAUGUCGAAAGGAGUCUCUCGCUGAUGCUGUGCAUGAGCGAGUGUAUAGGGGGGAAGAGAAGGGGAAAAGGGAGGGGAGGCACUCGAGCCGAUGGCGGCACGAUGAGCUGACCUCGAUCACACGAAACGCGCACAGCUUCGUCCCGUCUUCGCCAGUAGUCUCCCGUUCGCCCCCCCCCCCUACUUCCUCCGUCGCGGCAGUCAUCUGAGGCACGCGCACAGCGGCAUUCCGUGUCGCUUGUGGCCCGUGCGUAAAGAUGCUUGCUCCGCGUAAGCACGGCUUCUGAGUAAAGGAGGGAGGAGGAGGGGAGGCAGGGCUCUGAUCUGGAUGCCGCCCGCGUGUGCGGUUGUGUUGGCGUUUUGAUGCGUAUACAUUGUACAUGUAUGUGUCUACGCGUCGGUGUAUGUCUAGUCGUGGCGUGCGUGCGCUUCUGUUGUGUAACUUGCGCGCACCUAAAUCACAAACCGAAAAGGACGACGUAGAUGUGAAACGACGCAGCCCAG